rnacentral:rRNA from 1 species
UGGGGAAUAUUGGACAAUGGGGGCAACCCUGAUCCAGCCAUGCCGCGUGCGUGAAGAAGGCCUUAGGGUUGUAAAAGCGCUUUCACUGGUGAAGAUGAUGACGGUAACCAGAGAAGAAGCCCCGGCUAACUCCGUGCCAGCAGCCGCGGUAAUACGGAGGGGGCAAGCGUUGUUCGGAAUUACUGGGCGUAAAGCGCACGUAGGCGGACCAGAAAGUUGGGGUGAAAUCCCGGGGCUCAACCCCGGAACUGCCUCCAAAACUAUUGGUCUAGAGUUCGAGAGAGGUGAGUGGAAUUCCAAGUGUAGAGGUGAAAUUCGUAGAUAUUUGGAGGAACACCAGUGGCGAAGGCGGCUCACUGGCUCGAUACUGACGCUGAGGUGCGAAAGUGUGGGGAGCAAACAGGAUUAGAUACCCUGGUAGUCCACACCGUAAAACGAUGAAUGCCAGUCGUCGGGUAGCAUGCUAUUCGGUGACACACCUAACGGAUUAAGCAUUCCGCCUGGGGAGUACGGUCGCAAGAUUAAAACUC